AGAAUUCUCAUUUCUUCACUCUCAGCCCACAAUGGCCCAACAGCCAGUUCAUGUCUCCUCCCUAGGCCUAUGUACGGCCUACAAGUCCAUCCCUCACACUCUGACCCGCCUUAUCUAUACCCCAAAUUCAUCUCCUCCGUCUUCAUUUCUCCUUAAACCUAACCCUUCCCUCAGCCGUAACGACCACAUCUCUGGACUGUAGAAGGGUAUCAUUAAGCUAGGAUCACAAGUUAUCAGAGAAACCGCAGAGAUAUGAUUGUGCCCGCAGACUGAGCGAUGGCUUCCAAAGAAAGCUCUCCAUUAAUUGCAUCACUUGCUUCAAUGGAUUCGGCUGUUCCUUUCCUGGUCGGAGCUUACUUUGCUGUUUUUAUGGUGUUUGUGUGGCAGAAACUGAAACACGAUAAAGCCAGUUUGAUGGAACCAUCAGUUGCUUCUGGUUUGAUAUGUGGAGAAGGAUUGUGGAUUCUGCAGCCUCCCAUUCUUCACGUCUUCCACAGUUCCACCUCCAAUUAACUCACUUCCACCUUCAAUAUAACUCAUUGGUUGAGGCAUGUUUUCAGUUAUCUUUGUUGGCGAUCUUGUUUUUGAUCCCGGAAAGUGUAGAUCUGUGGAAUGUUUGUAUCAUUAAGUUAGGAUCACAAGUUAUCAGACAAACAGCAGACAUGUACAUUGUGCAGUAGCAACAAGGCUUUGACCACCAGCUCUCCAUAGCAUCAAUUCAAUUCUGCAACAAAUUAAGCAAAGCUUUAUUAUAAUUAAAUUGUAUGGGAUGUUUUUCAACAACAGGAUACAGGAGUUUAUCCACUGUUAAUGAAUGUAAAAAGAAGAGAAUGUUGUAUAAUUCGUUAAUUACCUUUGGUCCUUCAGAUCCUUGUUUGGUUUCUUCGAUUUAGUUAUGAUCAAUAGAAUCUUUUGCUCGUUUAAUUUCAA